rnacentral:rRNA from 1 species
UGGCUCAGGAUGAACGCUAGCGGGAGGCCUAACACAUGCAAGCCGAGCGGUAGAGAUUCUUCGGAAUCUUGAGAGCGGCGUACGGGUGCGGAACACGUGUGCAACCUACCUUUAUCUGGAGAUAGCCUUUCGAAAGGAAGAUUAAUACUCCAUAAUAUAUUGAUUGGCAUCAAUUGAUAUUGAAAGCUCCGGCGGAUAGAGAUGGGCACGCGUAAGAUUAGUUAGUUGGUGAGGUAACGGCUCACCAAGACGAUGAUCUUUAGGGGCCUGAGAGGGUGAUCCCCCACACUGGUACUGAGACACGGACCAGACUCCUACGGGAGGCAGCAGUGAGGAAUAUUGGUCAAUGGGUGCAAGCCUGAACCAGCCAUCCCGCGUGAAGGACGACUGCCCUAUGGGUUGUAAACUUCUUUUGUAUAGGGAUAAACCUACCCUCGUGAGGGUAGCUGAAGGUACUAUACGAAUAAGCACCGGCUAACUCCGUG